rnacentral:tRNA from 2 species
AGCAAGAUGGCGCAGCGGAAGCGCGCCGGGCUCAUAACCCGGAGGACGGUGGAUCGAAACCACCUCUUGCUA